rnacentral:rRNA from 1 species
UACAGGGGGUGCAAAGCGUUGCUCGGAAUCAUUGGGCGUAAAGCGCACGUAGGCGGUUCUGUUAUGUCGGAUGUGAAAGCCCUUGGACUUCGAACUGAGGCAAGUGCAUCCGAAACUGGCAGGGCUAGAGUACUAAAGAGGGUCGCGGAAUUCCCGGUGUGAGUGGUGGAAAUGACGUAGAUAUCGGGAGGAACACCAGUGGCGAAGGCGAAGCUUCCUGGCCUGGUUCCUUGACGCUGAGGCGCGAAAGCUAAGGGGAGCAAACGGGG